rnacentral:rRNA from 1 species
CCUACGGGAGGCAGCAGUGAGGAAUAUUGGACAAUGGCCGAAAGCCUGAUGCAGCAACGCCGCGUGAGCGAUGAAGGCCUUCGGGUCUGAAAGCUCUGUCCUCCAGGAAGAUAAUGACGGUACUUGAGGAGGAAGCCCCGCCUAACUACGUGACAGCAGCCGCGGUAAUACGUAGGGGGCUAGCGUUAUCCGGAAUUACUGGGCGUAAAGGGUGCGUAGGUGGUUUCUUAAGUCAGAGGUGAAAGGCUACGGCUCAACCGUAGUAAGCCGUUGACACUGGGAAACUUGAGUGCAGGAGAGGAGAGUGGAAUUCCUGGUGUAGCGGUGAAAUGCGUAGAUAUUAGGAGGAACACCAGUUGCGAAGGCGGCUCUCUGGACAUUAACUGACGCUGAGGCACGAAGGCCAGGGGAGCGAAAGGGAUUAGAUACCCUUGUAGUC